CAGGUGCUGACCUCAUAGCAUUUGAAACAGUUCCAAAUAAGGUAGAAGCUCAGGUUUAUGCUGAGCUCUUAGAGGAAGAAAACAUAAAGAUUCCUGCAUGGUUCUCCUUUAACUCAAAGGAUGGUAUCAAUGUAGUUAGUGGUGAUUCUUUGGUUGAAUGUGCCUCAAUCGCUGAAUCAUGUGGGAAAGUAGUUGCUGUGGGAAUCAACUGCACACCUCCUAGGUUUAUCCAUGGACUGAUAUUAUCUGUCAAGAAGGUGACCUCCAAACCAAUACUUAUGUAUCCAAACAGUGGGGAGAGCUAUGAUGCUGAUCUAAAAGAGUGGGUGCAAAAUACUGGUGUAUCAGAUGAAGAUUUUGUGUCAUGUAUAAACAAAUGGUGUGAGGUUGGGGCUUCCCUUGUUGGUGGCUGCUGUAGAACAACUCCAAACACUAUCAAAGCUAUAUACAGGACUCUCUCCGAUAGAUCUCCUGCUCUGCCAUUGUGGCGACCUCAGUGAUUUCACAUGGAAGGAGCAGAACAGUUACAAAUCUGAUUAGGCUGUUUAAUGGGCUUGCAUGGUCUUGAUAUUUUUGCCAUCGUUUGUGAUAUGGAGAGAGGGAUCUGGCAGCCUACACUCAAGAAAAGGGUUGAAAUUUUUGUUCUAGCAGAAGAGAUGUCUUACAUGAGCUACUUAGAGGGAAUAUCACUAGGUGUGAGAAUCACGAAUAUGCUGGCAAUAUUAGGAGUAAGGAUUGACAGCGUUUGUUUCUGUUUAUGGCCUUUUGUACUGGAAGGUUGUAUUGCUACUUAAACAAAGUUCC
rnacentral:misc_RNA from 1 species